rnacentral:misc_RNA from 1 species
GUGACCGUUGUGCCGUCUCCGGCGCGCUGUUCAGAUCCCGCCAGGUACGACCGUGGUUUGGUGGGCCCGCGGCGGGCACCCCCUGCCGGGGGCAGCGGGCUCCGCCCUGGAGCCGCCCGCCGAGGCAACGACGUGGUAUGUUCGCGGUGGUUUCCGGAGCCUCGCAACUCGGCAAUGAUCCCUCCGCUGGUUCACCAACGGAGA